AAAGCGGGAGUGGGGAGCUGAAGGCCGAAGGAUCACGUAAGUGAGGAAGGACUAGGCUACCACAUUCGCUGCGUAACAUACUCUGAGCCAACGAAAUGUCCAACCAAAGCGUUUAAGAAAUGUAAGAUCAGAUGAUCACGCAGCAAUGGACACACAGUCCUGAAACUACAAACUCACAGGUCAUAAAAUAUCACCGACGAUAUUUAACCACAGCUGGCUGGCUUGCUGGUGUGCUGCAGAAUUUCUGUUUUGUUUGCCUUUACUCUUAAGGCUAAUGAUGAAGUGACUCGAGCUGUUCCUUCUUCAAAAUAUGUCUAAACUGACCUCAUUGACCAUAAUUGCACUGGGUCCUGAGUGACCUUUUAACCUCAGCAAAUACCAUCAGAAUGAGAUAGUGCUGCCGCGUUGGAAAGGAUUUGCGAAGGAGUUUAGCCGUGUUGUGGGGAAGCACAGGAAAAGAGGAGAAGAUUUCCCACCUACGCAUGAUGAAAAUCCAAUCCGGUGAUCACCAAGUUCAUUUUUUUUUUUUUUUUCUUGCAGGAGUUCCUUCUGUUGGGUGGAUGGCUCCAGGCCACAGGUGUAGCUGCUCCGCACGUGACAGAAUGGAAAACAUUAUGGAGAUGUCAGUGGAAGCCAACAGCCUGCAGCUGUCUUUGGAAAUCUCACUGACACGUACUCGUGAAGGAAAGGUGGUUUCUGCUGUCAGUGGACGCGGCUGCUGGAUGCAUUAGCUUUACAAGCCUGUCACGUUGCAUUUGUCAUUCUCUGGUAAGCCACCUCUACGCUAACGCUGGGGCUACAUGCAUUUAUGCAACCGUUUCUCAGCUUUAUUUUGAGA